rnacentral:tRNA from 1 species
UCCCUUGUAGCUCAACUGGUAAAGAAUCUGCUUGCAAUGCAGAAGACCCAGGUUCAGUUCCUGGAUUGGAAA